rnacentral:rRNA from 1 species
UACAGAGGGUGCAAGCGUUGUUCGGAAUUAUUGGGCGUAAAGAGCGCGUAGGCGGCUUGUCGCGUCGGUUGUGAAAGCCCGGGGCUUAACUCCGGGUCUGCAGUCGAUACGGGCAGGCUAGAGUUCGGUAGGGGAGAUCGGAAUUCCUGGUGUAGCGGUGAAAUGCGCAGAUAUCAGGAGGAACACCGGUGGCGAAGGCGGAUCUCUGGGCCGAUACUGACGCUGAGGAGCGAAAGCGUGGGGAGCGAACAGG